AUGCAAGUUGAGCGAACAUAAUAAGAAGCUUGCUUCUUAUUAUGUUAGCGGCGGAUGGGUGAGUAACACGUGGGCAACCUGCCCUGCAGAUGGGGAUAACUCCGGGAAACCGGGGCUAAUACCGAAUAAUCAGUUUGUUCGCAUGAACAAACUCUGAAAGACGGCUUACGCUGUCACUGCAGGAUGGGCCCGCGGCGCAUUAGCUAGUUGGUGGGAUAAUGGCCUACCAAGGCAACGAUGCGUAGCCGACCUGAGAGGGUGAUCGGCCACACUGGGACUGAGACACGGCCCAGACUCCUACGGGAGGCAGCAGUAGGGAAUCUUCCACAAUGGACGAAAGUCUGAUGGAGCAAUGCCGCGUGAGUGAAGAAGGUUUUCGGAUCGUAAAACUCUGUUGUGAGGGAAGAACAAGUACGGGAGUAACUGCCCGUACCUUGACGGUACCUCAUUAGAAAGCCACGGCUAACUACGUGCCAGCAGCCGCGGUAAUACGUAGGUGGCAAGCGUUGUCCGGAAUUAUUGGGCGUAAAGCGCGCGCAGGCGGCCUUUUAAGUCUGAUGUGAAAGCCCACGGCUCAACCGUGGAAGGUCAUUGGAAACUGAAAGGCUUGAGUACAGAAGAGGAAAGCGGAAUUCCACGUGUAGCGGUGAAAUGCGUAGAGAUGUGGAGGAACACCA
rnacentral:rRNA from 1 species